rnacentral:rRNA from 1 species
CCCUUAGAUGUUCUGGGCCGCACGCGUGCUACACUGAGUGGAUCAGCGGGUCAGGUUGCGCGAAAGUGUUUCCUAAUCUUUAAAUCCGCUCGUGAUGGGGAUUGACGGUUGCAAUUUUCCGUCAUGAACGAGGAAUACCUUGUAAGCGCGGGUCAUCAUCCCGCGCUGAAUACGUCCCUGCCCUUUGUACACACCGCCCGUCGCUACUACCGAUUGGAUGGCUUAGUGAGACCCUCGGACCGAUAGGCUGUCGCCGCGGCAACGUGGCGACCGGCCCGUCGGGAAGAAGGUCAAACUUGACUGUCUAGAGGAAGUAAAAGUCGUAACA